rnacentral:rRNA from 1 species
UGGGCGUAAAGCGUCUGUAGGUGGUCAAAUAAGUCAACUGGUUAAAUCUUGAGGCUCAACCUCAAAAUCGCAGUCGAAACUAUUAGACUAGAGUAUAGUAGGGGUAAAGGGMAUUUCCAGUGGAGCGGUGAAAUGCGUAGAGAUUGGAAGGAACACCAAUGGCGAAGGCACUUUACUGGGCUAUUACCUAACACUCAGAGACGAAAGCUAGGGUAGCAAAUGGGAUUAGAUACCCCAGUAGUCCUAGCUGUAAACWAUGGAUACUAGGUGUUGAACAGAUCGACCUGUGCAGUACUAAAGCUAACGC